AUGAAUAUUGUGCCAAACUUGGCUUUCGUUUUGGCCAUUUUACAUGGUGUCCAGUGUGAGGUGCAGCUGGUGGAGUCUGGGGGCGAUCUGAGAAAGCCUGGAGGGUCUCUGAGACUCUCCUGUGCAGCCUCUGGAUUCACCUUCAGUAACUCUGUCAUGCACUGGGUCCGCCAGGCUCCAGGGAAGGGCCUGCAGUGGGUCGCAUACAUUAGUGGUGAUGGUAGUUACAUAAAGUACACUGACUCCGUGAAGGGUCUGUUCACCAUCUCCAGAGACAACUCCAAGAACACCCUCUAUCUUCAAAUGAACAGCUUGAAAACCGAGAACACGACCACGUAUUACUGUGCAAGUGACACAGUGUGGGGAAGUCAGUGA